ACCCCCAUCUCGAGCAGCUUUUGUUGUCUCCCUCUCACUCCCUCCGCGCACACACAUAAAUGCAAGGCAAUUGCAACAACAACAGCAGCCGCACCAACCACAUAUAAUUGCUGUUCCAAUAACCUCUAACCCGAAGGCACAAAGCAGACAAACAACACACAACACACAAGAGAUAACAACGAGAAAUACAAAUUGUGACUCGUGCCGUGCCACAACAAAACGAACACCGAACAAAUAACCAAAUAUAUUAAACUGUCAAACCAAAUAAUAACCCAAGCCAGUCACACCCACACACACACUCACACAAUGGCAGGGACAUGGACAUGGCGAGGCAGAGAGAUGAGAGAAAGAGGCAGCUGUAAUUCGCACAACUGCGCGCAAGGGAGACACACAUAGCAGAAAAGGCAAAGGAGGAACACAAAUAUUUACAGUAAACCCAAGAGAGUAUACCAAGAGAAUAACAGAGAGAGAGGAUCAGCUCUGCCUACGCGACCCGAAAGUUGUUGUUGCUGCUGCCACACAUCUAACCUCAAAUCGCUGCUGUUUUUGGUAAUAAACGAAGCGUUAAACAAAUUGCAUUACAACAACAACCACAACAUAGAAAACACAUUUUUGGUUUCUUUCCGAUUUGUUGUCUAGCAUAUGCAAAGCGUCAUAAAUGAGGCUGCCGCUGCUGCUGCUGCUGCUGGUGCUGCCUUGGGCGUAAUUACAUCCACAGCCAAAAAUGGUCAAACGAGCGAGAAAAUUAUCACAUUGCAGCCCACUGUGUGUUGUUGUAAUGCCAGCCACAAAAAGACUGAAAUUAAAUGCAAAUUUUUGGCUAACACAAAACAAAAUUUAUACACACACACACAAGAGGUUUCAUAAUCAGGAAAUUUACUAUUUUUCGGUGUCUUGAGCGGAGGAAAUUAAAAUUGUUGCUGCCGAAGAUUUGACAUUUGAUAUGCAAUUUGAAUAAUUUUGCCACUCCACUCCACUCCUCGAAAAUGCCAUACACAUACGAGAAUGUAAGGCAAAACUAGUUCCAACCUCAGCGACAACAGCAAAUGCCACGGACAGCGGGCCUAAUUCCAACAUAGACAUAAAUCAAUGAACGCCAAAGUCGAAGGCAGCCCAGAAAGACAGAAAUCAGGAAGGUAGAAGCCAAUAAAUUGCACAGCAAUAAUGGAAAAUAAUAAUAGAUCGCUGGGCUGCGAGUGCCAGCACGCCUUGGACGUAGAAAUACAGAGAUAAUUGAUUAUAUUAUGCUCUAAUGUAUGCAUAUGAACGUGAUAAUUCCCUGACGAAACUAAGGGUAAACCCAAAUAACCCAACCAGAAAAACACUAAAAUUUAGAUGGACCCCAAGCACAAAUCGAAAUAUUAGCUACUUAUAAAUCAUAUUUCAUAUAUGAAGCUGUACUUCAUGAAGAAUAAGAGAUUGAAUAAAGACCGUACUGAUCUGUCACUUUAUACUGCCUUUUUGUGAUUACCCUAGCUUUAGUUAACGGAUUUAAAUGUUUUUUAAAAUUCAAACUAACGACUGACCUCUGCUCUAAGCACUUUAAGUUAAUUUAAUAAAAGUUGUAAUUAGCUGUAAGCCAUUCAAGCAGCUAUUAAACGA